ACUUCCUGAGGCUCCACCUCAGUGGGCAGGUUGGUUGGAGUUUCUCCAGGGACCUCCUCCCAUUUGGCUGUCUCAUUUCCUCACCUAUGAAAUGAAGAGGCUGAGCUACCUCACAGGGCUGUAAUGAGAGAGCAACAAGGUAAUGCAGGUAAAUCUGAUGGCAGGAUCCCAUCAGGAUGGCACAUUACGUUGGGUUGUCAUGUCUCUUUAUGCUCCCGUCCGUUCUGGCAGUCUCCUUGUUUUUGAUGACUUUGAGGGUUUUGAGGAGUACUGAUCAGAAGCCAGGAUUAUGAUGAUUUCCUGCAUCACAUCUUUGUAGAAAUUCUGAGAAGGAUCCAGCCAAGCCCACUUCUGUUGGGUGAAGGUCACAGUCACAACUUCAAAGGCAACUAAGUUCGUAUUCCAACUUCCUGGGUGUCCUGGCAUCCUCCCCAUGCAUGUCCCAGUACCUGCAGGUCACAGAGUGAUAAAGGCUGUGGCAGAACUCCCUGGGCCUCCUACAGUGAAGAAGAAGGAGCAGCGAAGACUGACUGAGCAGUGGACAUGUGGGCAUGAAAGACCUGAGUAGAUUUAUUUAUUGAAAUAAAACCGUGCAGUUCAUCGAAUCAAAGUCCUGAACACAGAAAACAAGGCAGGAAGACAUCACAGAGCACAGUCAGAUAACGCCCUGGGUAACCGCCUGUACCUGGCUCUGAGGGGGCACACAGUUAAGGUUUUGUGGUGGCCA
rnacentral:lncRNA from 10 species